GUGUCAAAGAGGUUUGACUGCCUUUAUCUUAGCUUGCAUAAAAUGUUUUUAUUUUAUAUUUAUAUUCAAACUUUGCUGCAACCUUGCAAUUUGUUUGUCUUAAGCAAAGUUUACCAUUCUAUCCCAUAAUAAUUCUACAAACUCCUUCAAAGUUGGUUCCCUUAAUUUACAGAUGUGAAUAAUAGAUGCUUGAGGAAAGGAAGUCCUACCAUCUUAGCUGUUCUUCUUUGUGUGAUGUGUUGUGUCAAUUACAUUGACAGAAGGCUAGAGAUCAGAAAUAACCCCUCUCAAUGGUGUUAAAAUCCCAUAUUGGUAAGGAAUAUAUCUAAAAGUACUUAUAAAAUUUGGCAAUCAUUUGGGUUAAGAAUCAAAGUGUAUCCAAUCCUAGUUUUGGGUCUCUAAUAGAUGUUUAGUCUGGCAAUCAUUUGGGUUAAUUUUAGUUUUUCCCUUUUUUAAUAUCAGGUGUUUCAUACUCAUAUCUCUAAUUUAAUUUUAGUUUUUCCCUUUUUUAAUAACAGGUACCAGGUUUUGCUGGGAACAAAAAAGACUAAGGAUAACGUACUAGAAAGUUCUUGAAAAUUUAUUACUUGCAUUAAGAAGUAUUUGCUUAUCUCAAACUAUUGGAGGAAAUAGGAAAUAAAUGUAUUUUUGAAUGUUUGUAUAUGCUGCUCUUUAGACAUAUUGUAAGGGAUUUGUUAUUUGUAAUUGGAGAUAAACAUUUGGUAUUCUUUUUUAAAUUUGGCAAUUGUAUGUGACUUUUAUCAGUAAUUAGAAACAGUUAGUUAUUGGGUGUAGAUUUGAGAUCAUUUAAUUUUUUUUUUAUAAAACAUAAAGUUACA
rnacentral:lncRNA from 1 species